GCCCCCGUGGCCCAAUUGGCAGAGGCAGCGGACUUAAAAUCCGCGUGGUGUCGGUUCGAAUCCGACCGGGGGCA
rnacentral:tRNA from 1 species